rnacentral:rRNA from 1 species
AACGUAGGGGACAAGCGUUAUCCGGAUUUACUGGGCGUAAAGCGCCCGUAGGCGGCCUGACAAGUUGGACGUGAAAGCUCCUGGCUUAACUGGGAGAGGCCGUUCAAAAACUGUCAAGCUAGAGUCUGGAAGAGGAGAGCGGAAUUCCCGGUGUAGUGGUGGAAUGCGUAGAGAUCGGGAGGAACACCAGUGGCGAAAGCGGCUCUCUGGUCCAAAACUGACGCUGAGGGGCGAAAGCGUGGGGAGCGAACGGGG